GAGGGUGAACAUGUUCAGUUCCUCGGAGGUAAAACGGGUGUCACUUUUUCACUCAAAAAAAAAAAAAAGAAAAAAAAGCCACUUUUCUGAGAACUGCCUGUAAUGCAGGAUUAGAUGGAGCCCGUUUUCAUAGGAGAAGCGGGACCUGCUCACGAGGGCGGCGGCUCUCCUGCCUGCAUUGCGGGCCCCCGGGCGCUGCAGAUGUCUUGUCGUCACAGCUCUGCAGCGAGGGCGAAGAGCCCUGGUCUCCCCCGCGCCUGAGCCGGCACCCACCAGCCUGUGACUCGCGAAAGGGCAAUUCUACUUUCCAAGAGAAAAGGCUAAAAAAAGAAAAGAAAAGGCUGAAGUGCCAGACCUUUUAAGUGGGGACUUGCCAGUGACCUUGCCCAGAACUUCCUGGUGGAGGUGCUCAGCCCUGCCCGCCCCCUCUCCCAGCCUCCCUCCCCUUCCUAAAAGACACAUUCUCAGUCCCUAUAUGUAGUGUCCUUAGCCGUUGGACUGACCUGACAAACCGUCGCUUCUCAGAGGAAUGCUGGUGUCUCAUCGUGGAAGUAUGUGCUCCUGCUUCAGUCCGAGUCGCAGGAGAAGCGCCUCCUCAGCGCCUGGGUUCUUUGUCUUCCUUAUGUCUCUUUCUCCUCCUCCCCUUGUCCGCCACCUUGCCAGGAGAGUCUGGGCAGGGUCCCUUUGCUCUUGCCCUCCCAAGGGACAUGACUGUCACUUGAAAAGCUGGUGGCCUUGGAGCAGGGGGGUCAGGUGAGCAGAGCCAUGAAAUGCAGCCCGGGACAGUCCCUAGAUGCUCUGAAGGCCCCUCACUGGGCCCUCGCUCUUGUGGUCUGUCAAGAACGUGGGUGAGCCGUGCCCUCUCUCUGCGGACCGAGCACACUCUGGAGGAACACCUCGGCCACUGCACGUCGUGUCUCCAAGCUUCCACGUUUGCGAGUGGCCGGGGGCGGGGGGACUUGCAUGUCUCAGAUGAAGCUCCCGAGUGGAAGGUUCGGUGAUGCUGUUAGAACUGAACUGCGGGCGCGGGUACAGACCCGGCCUGACCGGGGGUGGACUGCGUUUUGCACAUCUGGUAGCUAGAUCUCGGCGGAGCAGUGUGUGCAAAGGUGUCCACAUCGAACAGCGGUGGUUGUGCAGUCCGUUCGGGUUUAUCUGUCUGUGGUACUGGGUAGGCAGGUGGGCUGAACAGGACGGUCUCCGUGAACGGACUGAGUCACAAAAUGGAAGGGAAAUUUGAGGGGGAGAAACACAGCCUAAGGAGCAGUUUAUGGGCCUGAGUACUGGUGGCAUUGGGGGCCGUCAUCUUCCUGACAGAGUCCCCGUGGCUCUCGGACGAUGGCACAGGUCACCCUGCAGCCCUGAGGGCACAGGGCCAGCACCUCCACUGUGACAGAAACCGACAAAUCGUUCUGUCUGGGGGUCAUGGAUGCUUGGUUGGCUGUGUGACGUGGUUUAAUGUGAAUAUGAAAGCCCCAGGCUUGUGAGCCACUGCACGCGUGUCCACCAUGAAGCCACCUGAGCAGGCGGGAGCUGGACGUGGUCUGCGCUGUCCGUGCCCGGCGGACCGUGCGAGGCCUCCGUUGUCCUGUCUGCAGAAUGGGCGCAGUGCUGUGCGGACGUCACGGGAUGGGAGGUGGGUGGGAGCGGAGAGUGGCCAAGCUAAAGGCAUGAGGCAGAGUGGGGCUGUCAGCAGCCACCUCUCUUCUUGCAUCGGAAGGCGCGGUUCGGUUCCCGGGACUGAAUCCCGUGUUUCUGGACGGGGAGCUUUGGACGGCAGAGCAGGGCCGCUUGCACACUCGGCGGUUGUUCACAAUGUGAACAGCCUCUUGGCUUCACCACGGAAAGCAUUUGGGAGAAGCUAGAUUAGGAAACACGCUUGAAGAUAAUUUUAAAUAAAUGUGAGUGACACCGUG